CCCUUAGAGUUUGAUCCUGGCUCAGGACGAACGCUGGCGGCGCGCCUAACACAUGCAAGUCGAACGAGCGAGAGAGAGCUUGCUUUCUCAAGCGAGUGGCGAACGGGUGAGUAACGCGUGAGGAACCUGCCUCAAAGAGGGGGACAACAGUUGGAAACGACUGCUAAUACCGCAUAGGCCCACGACCCGGCAUCGGGUAGAGGGAAAAGGAGCAAUCCGCUUCGAGAUGGCCUCGCGUCCGAUUAGCUAGUUGGUGAGGUAACGGCCCACCAAGGCGACGAUCGGUUGCCGGACUGAGAGGUUGAACGGCCACAUUGGGACUGAGACACGGCCCAGACUCCUACGGGAGGCAGCAGUGGGAAAUAUUGCACAAUGGGGGAAACCCUGAUGCAGCGACGCCGCGUGGAGGAAGAAGGUCUUCGGAUUGUAAACUCCUGUUGUUGAGGAAG
rnacentral:rRNA from 1 species